UACGUAGGGUGCGAGCGUUGUCCGGAAUUACUGGGCGUAAAGAGCUCGUAGGUGGUUUGUCGCGUUGUUCGUGAAAUCUCACGGCUUAACUGUGAGCGUGCGGGCGAUACGGGCAGGCUAGAGUCCGGCAGGGGAGAUUGGAAUUCCUGGUGUAGCGGUGAAAUGCGCAGAUAUCAGGAGGAACACCGGUGGCGAAGGCGGUUCUCUGGGCCUUACCUGACGCUGAGGAGCGAAAGCGUGGGGAGCAAACAGG
rnacentral:rRNA from 1 species